GACAUAGGUCGCAAACGUUAUCCGGAAUUAUUGGGCGUAAAGGAUGCGUAGAUGGUUCAGUAAGUUACUGGUGGGAAAUCGAGGCCCAACCUCGUGGAAGUUAGUAAUACUGUUGAACUUGAGUGCAGGAGAGGUUAACGGAACUUCAUGUGGAGCGGUAAAAUGCGUAGAGAUGUGGAGGAACACCAGUGGCGAAGGCGACUCUUUGGCCUGUAACUGACGCUGAGGCGCGAAAGCGUGGGGUGCAAACAGG
rnacentral:rRNA from 1 species